ensembl:lincRNA 1700023F02Rik RIKEN cDNA 1700023F02 gene
GCUCCUUCAGCCCUUCCCUCAAUUUUUCCAUUGGAGUCCUGGGCUCAUUCUGGACAAAAAAUGGGGCAGAGACUAAAGGAAAGGCCAUCCAGAGACUGCCCUACCUUGGAAUCUAUCCCAUCUGAAGACACCAAACUCCAGCACUAUUGCGGAUGCCAAGAGACCAGGGCUUGGACUUGGCUGUGUUCCUCUGCUGAAGGUUACAGCUACUGCUGCACAGCUGUCUUUGUACAGAUCUCCCCAGAUAAAGCCACAAUGUAAGGUUCCAGAUGGCCACACUUAUUUGGAGACACCAUUUAACACGGUUCUGCUUCUACUUCCAUGAGAACCUAGUGAAGAAGACACAGCCAGAGCUUUGAUCAAAGAUUCCAAAUGCAAAUACAACUAACCACCCAACUGGUCCCAUCAGCCA